CGCAGAGGUAAAGACGUGCCCCGCUAUCUUCGCUAAAACUCACCGGCCCCGAGACACACGGGAAGGAGUAACCUGAAGACCAGUCCACACACCACCUCAGAAGCCAUCGCUUUGGGGAGCCUGUGUCGAAGUCCAGGGAAGUCCAAAUUCACAUCUCUCCUGAUCGCCCGGGCCCCAGCUGGCUGUAGUGCAUUAGGGCCUGCUGAGAGGUAAGACGAGCAUCGUGGGAGUCCUCCAGGCUGAGCCAAACGACCCGCUGGACAGGAGGCUCCUACAGCAGACACGGAGACGCAGUGUCCUCCAACCAGCUCAAGCCGUACUUACUGUGAGUCAUCGCUUGGCCUAAUCACUGACAUGGAUACGGGUUAUGAAAAUAAGAGAAAAGAACAACAAGUUGCUAAUGAGGAAAAAAUGACUUCGAGACAUCAUCAACAUGCUCGUUGCCAACCACUGGCCCGGAGCAUGACUUUUCCCUGGCUUGCCCAGGCAGGGCAGAAAUUCUGCAUCAACACACAACUCUACUGCGGUUGGGUUGUCGCACAAGGACCGUAAACAAGUCAACGUAGAGCCCGAACUGACGCCAGCUAAUCAAUAGUCAACCUCAAAUUCAAAAAAUAAAAUAAAAUAAAGAUGGUCGUUGAUUUGUCUCUGUUGUUUGAAGUUUGGCCGACCAAACCGUUUGGAUAAAUGGGU